rnacentral:rRNA from 1 species
UGGGGAAUAUUGGACAAUGGGCGCAAGCCUGAUCCAGCCAUGCCGCGUGAGUGAUGAAGGCCCUAGGGUUGUAAAGCUCUUUCACCGGUGAAGAUAAUGACGGUAACCGGAGAAGAAGCCCCGGAUAACUUCGUGCCAGCAGCCGCGGUAAUACGAAGGGGGCUAGCGUUGUUCGGAUUUACUGGGCGUAAAGCGCACGUAGGCGGACUUUUAAGUCAGGGGUGAAAUCCCGGGGCUCAACCCCGGAACUGCCUUUGAUACUGGAAGUCUUGAGUAUGGUAGAGGUGAGUGGAGUUCCGAGUGUAGAGGUGAAAUUCGUAAAUAUUCGGAGGAACACGAGUGGCGAAGGCGGCUCACUGGACCAUUACUGACGCUGAGGUGCGAAAGCGGGGGGUGCGAACAGG